AGCAAUAUAAACAACAGCCCCACACCCACACAAACGCACACAGCCGCGCCGGACAAACACAAACAAAUAUGCAUGUGCUGUGUGUUGUGUGUUGUGUGUUGUGGACAUGCAACACCCCUGCCGAAUCAAACCUACUCAGCCGCACAUGGUUGCUUCUAAAGUGAACAUCUUUCACUAGUGUUGUUUCGCUUAUCGUGCAUUCGUACAUGCGUGAUUUUCUCCCUUCCUUUUACCAGUACACGUAGUGACGAAGCGCACAGACGUCCGGACGAAGUGUGGAUGGCAGACGUAGUGACGAAUCGCAUCGGAAGUGCACGGAAAAGAUUCCUUAAACCAAAUACUAAGAUCGUUAAAAUGCGUUUGUCAGCUAUAAGAAACUAGAGAGCGAAAGGCAAUAGGUGGCAACAUUUUCUCACCCUAACAGACGACAAGAAAAUACCAUAAAAUUGCUUCGCGCUCCCAACCACCUAAAAUAAACUCUGUGAAAACGAUUUUCAAUACGAAUGCAUGUACUAUGGUCUUACUGUCAAUCAGCUCGUUUUGUUGCCAAAAGAGUUCUGUACUGGUAUAUAAUAUGGAUCAUUUGGAUACCAAAACAAAAUGUCAGAUCAAGUAGUUAAGCUUGUCAUUGAAAAUAGUUCAAAAAUUUUAUAGCCGUUACUCGUAAAGUAAAAGGGUAUACAUACAAUAUAUUGUAGUUGGCUCAAGUCCCACAAUACUGGCCGACCUACAACAUAUUGGCGUGGUUUUUGUGUUUUCCUUCCAUGUUUGUUCCCAAUAGAAUGAAGCGUUUUCGACCCUUUAAAGUAUAUAUAUUCUUGAUCAGUAUCGCUAGCCAAAUAGAUGGCCUAGCAAGUGAACGCUGUGAUCUCAGAAACUAUAAGAUUGAGAUAAGGUUGAGAUUUCAUAUUACAUAUUCCUUUGCUUCUGAUUCUGCCAAAGUUUUUUUAUCCGAAUGUGCAGCGCCUACUCUAACGCAAACAAGCUGCACGCUCUAAGAGCCUAGCCAAAGGAAAUCUCAAAAAAAUUGCGAAGACCGACACGACCACAAAUCCAAAAUACUGAUGAUCACGCAACUUGGAGGUGGAAAGAAGAAAACCAAGGGGCCGAGCGCGUAUCGGACUCUGUUCAUUUAACUGCAAGGGUUCGAUUCGGACCAUUCGUCAGGAAGUUGUGACUAUAUAAUUUACCAAUAGGUGGCGGCAUGCGCUCCAUCUUCCUUGCGCUCCCUUUUUGCGUUUGUUGUAUAUGGGCUUUGUCCAAAAAGGAGUUAAAUUUCUUAUAGUGCGUCCGUUUGUAUACGAUCUAGUUUCUCAGUUUAAAAGCUAGUGGAACCAAUCACUCCUAAAGGUCUUCAUUCUAUUGCAGGUACGGAACCGGAAGGGGACUAUUUGUCAUGUUUCAAGGUCUAAAAAAACGUUGGCUUAAGUGUAUUUUAGGAGGGGAUUACUUUAAAGGGGAUGACAUUAAUUUCGACAAUUAAAUACAAAAGUUUCAUUUUACAAACAAGUUUAUCUUACUUUUUGCUCACAAAAUACUGGAUCAAGCUUUGUUGUUUUUGACCGUAUUCUUAUUUACUUUGGUGUGUACCUUUUUUUAAUAGAUCACAAUUACAAAACAAAUUUUUUAAGCCUGAGUAACGGGUAUCUAAUAGUCGUGGUCAUCGACUAUAGUGUUUUCUCUUGUUUACAUUUCAGAUUUAUGAAAUAAAUUUUUUACAGGUGAGGUAGCAACGGAUCGGAAUUUAAUGCGAAAAUAUUAGG